GGAGGGCACAGCUCAGCUGUAGAGCACAUGCUUAGCAUGCACGAGGUCCUGGGUUCAAUCCCCAGCACCUCUA
rnacentral:tRNA from 1 species